rnacentral:rRNA from 1 species
UUAAGCGACUAAGCGUACACGGUGGAUGCCCUGGCAGUCAGAGGCGAUGAAGGACGUGCUAAUCUGCGAAAAGCGUCGGUAAGGUGAUAUGAACCGUUAUAGCCGGCGAUGUCCGAAUGGGGAAACCCAGUGUGAUUCGUCACACUAUCGUUAACUGAAUACAUAGGUUAACGAGGCGAACCGGGGGAACUGAAACAUCUAAGUACCCCGAGGAAAAGAAAUCAACCGAGAUUCCCCCAGUAGCGGCGAGCGAACGGGGAGCAGCCCAGAGUCUGAAUCAGCUUGUGUGUUAGUGGAACGGUCUGGAAAGUCCGACGGUACAGGGUGAUAGUCCCGUACACCAAAAUGCACAGGCUGUGAACUCGAAGAGUAGGGCGGGACACGUGGUAUCCUGUCUGAAUAUGGGGGGACCAUCCUCCAAGGCUAAAUACUCCUGACUGACCGAUAGUGAACCAGUACCGUGAGGGAAAGGCGAAAAGAACCCCGGCGAGGGGAGUGAAAAAGAACCUGAAACCGUGUACGUACAAGCAGUGGGAGCCUCUUUAUGGGGUGACUGCGUACCUUUUGUAUAAUGGGUCAGCGACUUAUAUUCUGUAGCAAGGUUAACCGUAUAGGGGAGCCGCAGGGAAACCGAGUCUUAACUGGGCGUUAAGUUGCAGGGUAUAGACCCGAAACCCGGUGAUCUAGCCAUGGGCAGGUUGAAGGUUGGGUAACACUAACUGGAGGACCGAACCGACUAAUGUUGAAAAAUUAGCGGAUGACUUGUGGCUGGGGGUGAAAGGCCAAUCAAACCGGGAGAUAGCUGGUUCUCCCCGAAAGCUAUUUAGGUAGCGCCUCGUGAACUCAUCUUCGGGGGUAGAGCACUGUUUCGGCUAGGGGGUCAUCCCGACUUACCAACCCGAUGCAAACUACGAAUACCGAAGAAUGUUAUCACGGGAGACACACGGCGGGUGCUAACGUCCGUCGUGAAGAGGGAAACAACCCAGACCGCCAGCUAAGGUCCCAAAGUCAUGGUUAAGUGGGAAACGAUGUGGGAAGGCCCAGACAGCCAGGAUGUUGGCUUAGAAGCAGCCAUCAUUUAAAGAAAGCGUAAUAGCUCACUGGUCGAGUCGGCCUGCGCGGAAGAUGUAACGGGGCUAAACCAUGCACCGAAGCUGCGGCAGCGACACUAUGUGUUGUUGGGUAGGGGAGCGUUCUGUAAGCCUGCGAAGGUGACCUGUGAGGGUUGCUGGAGGUAUCAGAAGUGCGAAUGCUGACAUAAGUAACGAUAAAGCGGGUGAAAAGCCCGCUCGCCGGAAGACCAAGGGUUCCUGUCCAACGUUAAUCGGGGCAGGGUGAGUCGACCCCUAAGGCGAGGCCGAAAGGCGUAGUCGAUGGGAAACAGGUUAAUAUUCCUGUACUUGGUGUUACUGCGAAGGGGGGACGGAGAAGGCUAUGUCAUCCGGGCGACGGUUGUCCCGGUUUAAGCAUGUAGGCUGGUUAUCCAGGCAAAUCCGGAUAAUCAAGGCUGAGGUGUGAUGACGAGGUACCACGGUACUGAAGUGACAGAUGCCCUGCUUCCAGGAAAAGCCUCUAAGCAUCAGGUAACAUCAAAUCGUACCCCAAACCGACACAGGUGGUCAGGUAGAGAAUACCAAGGCGCUUGAGAGAACUCGGGUGAAGGAACUAGGCAAAAUGGUGCCGUAACUUCGGGAGAAGGCACGCUGGUGUGUAGGUGAAGUCCCUGCGGAUGGAGCUGAGACCAGUCGAAGAUACCAGCUGGCUGCAACUGUUUAUUAAAAACACAGCACUGUGCAAACACGAAAGUGGACGUAUACGGUGUGACGCCUGCCCGGUGCCGGAAGGUUAAUUGAUGGGGUUAUCCGUAAGGAGAAGCUCUUGAUCGAAGCCCCGGUAAACGGCGGCCGUAACUAUAACGGUCCUAAGGUAGCGAAAUUCCUUGUCGGGUAAGUUCCGACCUGCACGAAUGGCGUAAUGAUGGCCAGGCUGUCUCCACCCGAGACUCAGUGAAAUUGAACUCGCUGUGAAGAUGCAGUGUACCCGCGGCAAGACGGAAAGACCCCGUGAACCUUUACUAUAGCUUGACACUGAACAUUGAGCCUUGAUGUGUAGGAUAGGUGGGAGGCUUUGAAGCGUGGACGCCAGUCUGCGUGGAGCCAACCUUGAAAUACCACCCUUUAAUGUUUGAUGUUCUAACGUUGGCCCCUUAUCGGGGUUGCGGACAGUGUCUGGUGGGUAGUUUGACUGGGGCGGUCUCCUCCCAAAGCGUAACGGAGGAGCACGAAGGUUAGCUAAUCCUGGUCGGACAUCAGGAGGUUAGUGCAAUGGCAUAAGCUAGCUUGACUGCGAGCGUGACGGCGCGAGCAGGUGCGAAAGCAGGUCAUAGUGAUCCGGUGGUUCUGAAUGGAAGGGCCAUCGCUCAACGGAUAAAAGGUACUCCGGGGAUAACAGGCUGAUACCGCCCAAGAGUUCAUAUCGACGGCGGUGUUUGGCACCUCGAUGUCGGCUCAUCACAUCCUGGGGCUGAAGUAGGUCCCAAGGGUAUGGCUGUUCGCCAUUUAAAGUGGUACGCGAGCUGGGUUUAGAACGUCGUGAGACAGUUCGGUCCCUAUCUGCCGUGGGCGCUGGAGAAUUGAGGGGGGCUGCUCCUAGUACGAGAGGACCGGAGUGGACGCAUCACUGGUGUUCGGGUUGUCAUGCCAAUGGCACUGCCCGGUAGCUAAAUGCGGAAGAGAUAAGUGCUGAAAGCAUCUAAGCACGAAACUUGCCCCGAGAUGAGUUCUCCCUGAGACUAUAAGUCUCCUGAAGGAACGUUGAAGACGACGACGUUGAUAGGCCGGGUGUGUAAGCGCAGCGAUGCGUUGAGCUAACCGGUACUAAUGAACCGUGAGGCUUAACCU